GCGUAGUCGGUCUCGGGAUAGAGAACGACGUAAGGGCAGAGAUAAAGAGAAAAGAGAAAAGGAGAAGGAUAAAGGGAAGGACAAGGAAUUACAUAACAUCAAACGUGGGGAAUCUGGAAACAUCAAAGCUGGAUUAGAACAUCUGAUGGGAGUCUUGCUCAGUCUCCCAGGCUGGAGAGCAGUGGUACAAUCUUGGCUCACUGCACCCUCCACCUCCCAGGUUCAAGUGAUUCUCCUGUCUCAGCCUCCUGAGUAGCUGGGACUGCAGGCACCGGCCACCAUGCCUGGCUAAUUUUUAUAUUUUUAGUAGAGACCAACAUGAUUUUACCAUGUUGGCCAGGCUAGCCUCGAACUCCUGACCUCAGAUGAUCCGCCCUCCUCGGCCUCCAGAAUGCUAGGAUUAUAGGCAUGAGCAACCGCGCCCAGCGACUCCAUGUUUUUUCUACCAUUAUGUUUUAAAGUUCUGGAUAAUGUAGUGAGUAGUGAUGCUUAUUGGACUACUGAAUGGGGAUUAAAAUGUUUACUUUCAGCUGGGGGUUUAAUGAAGUCAACACGUUUUUAUUUUUCCAAUUAAGAAAAAGAUACAGGAGAUAGAACCUUGCCAUUUGAUGACAAUACAGCUAUUAUUAUUUUAUAAGCAAACUAUAAAAAUGAUGCUAUCCUUUUCUCUUGGGAGAAGGAUUUAGAUCAGAAAAUAUUAAGUUGAGCUGUUUGAAAAAUUGUUACUUUUUUAGGUCAAAAUAGUUUUGUGGGUUGUUUCUGGCUUGAAAGAAGGACAGCUGUGCUAUGCCCCCUUUGGCAAGGAAUGAAAUGAAUUAUCCUGAUCAGUAUGAUGUUUCUAAAGCUUCCUUUGUUCUCUUUUCUGAAAGUCAAAUAAAUAGAAGUGGCUUGUAGUAACUGUACAGGGUGAUCUGGGGCAGUGCUUCACCAUCUUUAAUGUACAUAUGAGUCACCUGGGAUUCUUGCUUAAAGCACAUUCUGAUUCUUUGGGUCUGGGGCACAAUUUGAAAUUAUGCAUUUCAACAAGCUCCUAAGCAAGG
rnacentral:sRNA from 1 species